ACGACUUUCUUACUCUCACCGGCGGCAUGUCCAUCGGCAAUUUUGCUGAUGCAUCAAUUUCUUCGUUCGGUGAAUAAUCUCUGAAGGAUUCUGUUUCAUAAGCCAUAAGACCUUGUUUCUGCCGUCUAAGGCUACCUGAAAGAAUCGUAGCUAUCCGAUCGUCAUAAUCUUCCGAUGUAAUAUCUAAUUUUGGAUCAACGGCGACAUCAGGCUGAAUUAACUCUUCAUCCCUAUCUUCAGCGAAGAAGACAUCGAGGCUAUGAAGAGUUGUAACUAGCUCUCCUAGUGAAUUUUCGUCAAGCGAACCAUGACUGUCAGUAGGAACGUGUCGCGGAUAAUUGGAUACUUCAUCAGCAUGAAAUCUAACCUCUGGCGUACUCACAGAAGCCUCGGUAGUGGAA